UACGGAGGGAGCUAGCGUUGUUCGGAUAUACUGGGCGUAAAGCGCACGUAGGCGGCGCCGUAAGUCAGGGGUGAAAUCCCGGAGCUCAACUCCGGAACUGCCCUUGAAACUGCAGUGCUAGAAUCCUGGAGAGGCGAGUGGAAUUCCGAGUGUAGAGGUGGAAUUCGUAGAUAUUCGGAAGAACACCAGUGGCGAAGGCGACUCGCUGGACAGGUAUUGACGCUGAGGUGCGAAAGCGUGGGGAGCAAACAGG
rnacentral:rRNA from 1 species